rnacentral:rRNA from 1 species
AGUGAACGCUGGCGGUAGGCCUAACACAUGCAAGUCGAACGGCAGCACAUCAAUAGCUUGCUCUUACGGGUGUCGAGUGGCGGACGGGUGAGGAAUACAUCGGAAUCUACUUUUUCGUGGGGUAUAACGUAGGGAAACUUACGCUAAUACCUCAUACGACCUACGGGUGAAAGCAGGGGAUCUUCGGACCUUGCGCGAUUGAAUGAGCCGAUGUCGGAUUAGCUAGUUGGCGGGGUAAAGGCCCACCAAGGCGACGAUCCGUAGCUGGUCUGAGAGGAUGAUCAGCCACACUGGAACUGAGACACGGUCCAGACUCCUACGGGAGGCAGCAGUGGGGAAUAUUGGACAAUGGGCGCAAGCCUGAUCCAGCCAUACCGCGUGGGUGAAGAAGGCCUUCGGGUUGUAAAGCCCUUUUGUUGGGAAAGAAAAGCAGCAGGUUAAUACCCCGCUGUUCUGACGGUACCCAAAGAAUAAGCACCGGCUAACUUCGUG